rnacentral:rRNA from 1 species
UACAGAGGGUGCAAGCGUUAAUCGGAAUUACUGGGCGUAAAGCGUGCGUAGACGGUCAUGUAAGUCGGGUGUGAAAGCCCCGGGCUCAACCUGGGAAUUGCAUUCGAGACUGCGUAGCUAGGGUGCGGAAGAGGGAAGCGGAAUUUCCGGUGUAGCGGUGAAAUGCGUAGAUAUCGGAAGGAACACCAGUGGCGAAAGCGGCUUCCUGGUCCAGCACCGACGUUCAGGCACGAAAGCGUGGGGAGCAAACAGG